GACGAACGCUGGCGGCGUGCUUAACACAUGCAAGUCGAACGGUGAAGGAAAGCUUGCUUUCCGGAUCAGUGGCGAACGGGUGAGUAACACGUGGGCAAUCUGCCCCAGACUCUGGGAUAACUUCUCGAAAGAGGGGCUAAUACCGGAUAUUCGGGUUUGAAGACAUCUUCGAAUUCGGAAAGUUUUUCGGUCUGGGAUGAGCCCGCGGCCUAUCAGCUUGUUGGUGAGGUAACGGCUCACCAAGGCAACG
rnacentral:rRNA from 1 species